ACUGGACAUGGUGGUGCACCUCAGCUACUAGGAGGCGGGGAUGGAGGAUCACUUGAGUUCAAGAGUUCCGGCUGCAGUGUGCUAUGCUGAUCGGCUGUCCACACUAUGCUGAUCGGCUGUCCGCACUAAGUUCAGCAUCAAUAUGGUGACCUCCCUGCAGCAGGGGGACCACCAGAUGGCCUAAAGAAGGGUGCACCGACCUGGUCAGAAAUGGAGCAGGUCAAAACUCCCGUGCUGAUCAGAAGUGAAUAGCCACUGCAUUCCAGCCUGGGCAACAUAGCAAGACCUCAUCAU
rfam:Otolemur garnettii contig092439, whole genome shotgun sequence.